ACUCAAAGUCUUGGAGUUGAGACACAGAGAGAUUGAUAAUUUCCCUCUACAGAUACUAAGCCUCAUCUGGUUGAGGUUCCUAUCAUUGCUCUGCCGUGAGAAUUUAGACAUACCUCCAGAAAUUUGUAGGUUAUGGAAUCUGCAGACAUUCAUUGUUCAAGUGCCCAGAUUUGAUGGACCAGUUAAAAUAACUUUUCCUGAGGAAAUUUGGGGACUAAUGCAAUUAAGCAUCUCAAACUGCCCAUAUUUUAUUUGCCAGAUUGCCCGAGUGGAUCUGUUGACAAAGGAAGGCCUUUGAAUAUUUCAAACAUACAAACUAUUUCUUACUUGUCUCCACGUUGUUGCACGAAGGAGGUUAUUAUGGGGAUUCAGAAUGUCAAAGAAUUAGGAAUCUGUGCAUAUGGGAUUGACUCUGAUGGGCUUCGCAACAAUCUUGUCCAUCUGCAGCAACUUGAAACAUUGAGUCUUAAAUAUUAUUUUAGUGGAUUUUUUCCAGCAAGUGCAAAAGCUUUUCCAGCAACGCUCAAGAAGCUGAAGUUGGAAAGAACGUUGCUAAGUUGGUUGUACUUGGACAUCAUAGCUGAAUUGCCUAACCUCGAGGUGCUGAAGCUGAUGGAUGGUACUUGUGUUGGAAAAAAAUGGUAUCCAAAUGUCAGGGCAUUUACUCGAUUGAAGCUUUUGUUAAUUGAAUAUAGUUUUCUCAAGUACUGGAAAGCCACAAAUGACAAUUUUCCUGUCCUUGAGCGCCUUGUGCUUAAAAACUGCCAUAAUUUGAAAGAGAUACCCAUUGAGUUUGCAGAAAUCCACACACUACAACUGAUUGAGUUAACAAGUUGUCUUCCCGAACUUGGGGAAUCUGCAGNNNNNNNNNNNNNNNNNNACUCUUUCUCAAUUCCACAAGUCAAGUUGUACACAAAAGUUAUUUAGCUUUGCUCCAUAUUCUUUCACAAAAUAACUUUGACAAAUUUGGUUAAAACCGUACUUAAAAUGUGAGAAAAAAUAACAAGAAUAUCCCUUAUAUUUGAGGGUAGUUCAAAAUGGCUCCUUAAAUAUAUUUUUGAGCAGUUUUGGUACUUUAGUUUUGUUAAAACUCAUGAGAAUACAUUAUGUAAAUAACUACUAAUCAGUUAGUUGGUACUGUUCCAUUGAUUUGUUAGCUAGUGUAUUAGGUGAUUAGUUAGUCGAAUCAGUUAGCUAGCUGUCAAGUUGAUUAGUGGCCCAAUCAAGUAGUAAGGAGGUUGUUAGGAAACUUCUAGAAGACCAUGUGUUGAUCAUGUGAGUCAAUAAAUAGGAGGUGAUCAUACAUUGUAUUGACUAACUUUUACUCUAAAACUGUAUUCCCAGUAACUUGUUCCCUUCUCUUAUCCCUUUGUUGAGCUCAAGCUCAGCUGUAAUGGCAGCAAUGUACGAAUGCUAAGAGGUGUUUUAACAUGGUAUCAGAGCCCGCGAUUAUGGGACUCAAGAAACAAGCUAUCGAGUAUAAAUGUAUCUGCAAUACAGUAAGUUUUGCCUGAGUUUUUGUUUGUGUGUUAGUGAGGUCAGAAGAACUUAGAUCUCUAUUUGUGAGCCAUAGAUCUAUAGUUGCAGGACAUAGAUUUCGAGUUUACUGUGUUGUUUUUGAUCCAAGAUUAGUUGUAAUCUAUAAAUUGGUUAUGGCACCUAAAAUUGAUUCUAGUGAUCCUCUGUUUCUGGGAGCAUCAGAUAUAGCAGGAGCUGCACUGAUUCCCAUCAAAUUAACUGGUUCAGAGAACUAUGGAAUUUGGUGUAGAUCUAUGAAGAUUGCCCUAUUGGGAAAGAGGAAAUAUAGAUUUGUAACUGGUACUUGUAGCAAGGAAAUAUAUAGAGAGGAGUUACAUGAUCAAUGGGAGACAUGUAAUGCAGUAGUACUCCCAUGGCUAAUGAGUUCAGUAAGUGCAGAAUUAUUCAGUGGUAUUGUAUAUGCAACAAAUGCUCAUGAAGUAUGGGUGGAUCUUAAGGAGAGAUUUGACAAGGUAAAUCACAUGAGACUAUACCAAUUACACAGGGAAAUCAAUAAUCUUCACCAAGGUACUGAUUCAGUUUCAACUUACUUUACUAAACUGAAGAACUUAUGGAGUAAACAUGAUGCAGUCAUACCAACUCCAUCAUGUAAUUGUCCUAAGUCGAAGGAGUAUGCAGAAUAUUUGUAUCAGUUAAGGCUAAUACAGUUCUUGAGUGGGUUAAAUGAUGCAUAUGAUAGGCAAAAAGACAAAUAUUGAUGAAAGGAAUAACACCUGCACUUAAUCAAGCAUAUGCAAUGAUCAGUGAGGAUGAAAUUCAAUAGCUUGCUUGUGCUACAACUAUUGGUGAUAAGACUGAACCUAUUGCUAUGCAAUUACACAGAAAAAAUGCAGAGGUUGGAAUGGAAGUAGGAAUCAAGCAUCAAUAAGUUUUGGAGGACAAGGCUAUAAAGGUAAAAGGUGUGAUUACUACAAUUUUACUGGGCAUACAAGGGAAAACUGCUACAAGUUCCAUGGAUAUCCAAGUGAUUGGAGGAACAAGAAAAGGGGAAUACCAAAUCAACCAUUUCAUAAUGGCCAAGGCAGAGCUGGUCAUGGAUAUGGACAUUCAAUUGCUGGUUACAACAACAGUCAGUCAUUAACUCAUAACAUCUCUGGUCCUUAAGCAGAGAACUCAUGCUUGGAUAAGCAAUCCAGUAGGUAGGGGGUAAAGACAUUAACAAUGCUACUUUGGCCAAGGGGGAAGGAUUAUCAGAGGAAGAAUACAAUCAGAUUAUAGCACUGAUUAACAAGGAAACACAUAACUCUGAACAGAACAACAUGACAGGUAAUGUUAGUUAUUUCUCUAGUCAUAUUAUUUCACAUGAUUGGAUAGUAGAUUCAGGAGCCACACACCAUGUAGCAGUACAUAAAGUUAUUUUCUCAUACUGUCACAAAGUGGAUAAUACCAUAUGUGACAAAGUUAAUCUGCCUACUGGAGCCAAGGUUGAAAUAACACAUAUAGGAGAAACACAGGUGCUGAAGGAUGAAGUUGUGGGGGAUGUACUGUAUGUUCCAGAUUUCAAACUGAACUUGUUCUUAGUAUCUAAAAUGACUAAGCAUCUUUCUUGCUUUGUUUCAUUUUACCCUGACUUCUGUGUGUUUCAGGACCUUCAUAGUGGCAAGGUGAAGGGGAUUGGUAAGGAGAAAGAAGGACUAUACAUCCUGAAGAAUGUGUGUGAAGUAAAUGGAACUCUUAACAAUAAGAAUCAUCAAAUAUAGGUUGCAGGAGUAGAAGUAGAAGUGCAGAUGCAUGGGUGUAGUCUAUGGCAUAAAAGGCUGGGACAUCCUUCUUCUCAAGCAUUAAAGAUUCUCAAUAUCAUAAGGCACAGUAGUGAUGUAGAUAUUCUAAAUAAGUGUCAUGUUUGUCCAUUAGCAAAACCAACUAGGCUAGUUUUUCCUAUCAUUACUUCCAAAGCUACAAGAUGUUUUGAUGUUGUACAUAUGGACCUCUGGGGUCCCUAUAAGACACCUACUUUUGACAAGAAAUACUAUUUCUUAACUGUUGUUGAUGAUCAUAGUAGUUAUACAUGGUUACAUCUAUUAUAACUAAAGUCUGAUUGCAUUGUAGCCAUAAAGAACUUCUUCACUAUGAUUUAGAAUCAGUUUGGUGUUCAGAUAAAGCUACUGAGGUCAGAUAAUAGGACAGAGUUCAUUAACUCUAAAUGCAAAGAGUUGUUUCAAUCCUUAGGAAUCAUAAAUCAAAGUAGAUAUCCAUACACACCACAACAAAAUAGUGUGGUUAAGAGAAAGCAUAGAUAGAUACUAAAUAUUGCAAGAGCAAUCAGGUUCCAGUCACAGAUGCCUAUUAGAUUUUGGGGGUUAAAUAUUAAAGCUGCUGUAUAUCUCAUUAACAUACUACCAUCUUCAUCCAUAGAAGGUAAAAGUCCUUAUGAGAUGUUGUUUUGCAAGGUUCCAUCCUUGACACAUCUAAGAGUGAUUGGAUGUAAAUUUUAUGCCUUAAUAUUGCCAAGAGGUGAUAAGCUUGUAGAAAGGGCCAAGAUUGCAGUAUUGAUGGGCUAUUCUGCAACUCAGAAAGGUUAUAAACUAUUAGACUGGUGUACUAAUAAGUUUUUUGUUACCAGAGAUGUAGUGUUCAAGGAAGAUUCAUUUCCUUUUAUAGAGGAGCCAAGUUCAGAAUCUUCUGUAGAAUUUCUUACACUAAGAUCUCCCACACAUGAUGAUGCAGAAGUAGAAGAAGAUGCAGACCGUCACACAGGUCCUAGUGAGCCUUUACACGAGUCACAAACUGAAGAUACAUCAAUACAUGAUCCUAAUGGCAUUUAAGAAGAAUACACUCAUAAUUUACAGAAUGUAGAAGAGUCACUCUCAGUACCCACAGAAGUUGAACUAAGAAGAUAAUUCAGAGCUACCAAACAACCUGUAUGGCUAAUGGAUUAUGCUUCACCAGGGAAGAGGAGAGGAAAUGGAUACCAACUUGCAAAUUACCUGUCUUAUGCUAAUACUAGUUCAAAAUAUCAAGAUUUUGUGUGCAGCUUGUCCGCAGAAGUUGAACCACAAUCUUAUAAUAAAGCUAGCAGAGAUAAGAGGUGGAUUGAAUCCAUGAAGUAGGAGGUUAAAGCUCUUGAAGAAAACCAUACAUGGGAAGUGGUUGAUAUGCCCUCAGAAAAGAACAUCAUUGGAUCAAAAUGGGUGUACAAAAUCAAGUAUAAGGCCAAUGAGGAAAUAGAGAGGUUUAAGGAAAGGUUGGUAGCCAAAGCUUAUAGUCAACUGGAAGAGCUAGACUACCAUGAUACAUUUUUUCCAGUAGCCAAAAUGGUUACAGUAAGGAGUGUCAUUGCCUUAGUAGUAUCAAAAGGGUGGUGCAUAUACCAGAUGGAUGUAUACAAUGCUUUCCUACAAGGUGACCUAGAUGAGGAGGUGUAUAUGGAAAUGCCAAAUGGUUUCAAGGAGGGAAGGCAACACAAAGUUUUCAGACUAAUUAAGUCUAUAAAUGGACUUAAGCAGGCAUCAAGGCAAUGGAAUAUCAAGCUGACUGCAGCAUUGCUCAGUGCAGGUUUUACCUAAAGCAUCUAUGAUUAUUCAUUAUUUACCCUGAAGAAGUCAGAAGGAAUAGUGGUGAUUUUAGUCUAUAUAGAUGAUCUUCUGAUAACUAGUGACAAUACAGACAUGAUCAAUGCAGUAAAAGGUACUUUGCACAAGCAAUUCAAGCUCAAAGAUCUAGGUGAACUUAAGUAUUUCCUAGGUAUUAAAGUGUUAAGAUCUGCCAGUGAAGUGAUUCUGAAUCAUAGAAAAUAUGUCUUGGAGCUCAUAUUCGAAACAGGUCUUGAUGGUGCCAAACCAGCCACCACCCCACUAGAGACUAAUGCUAAAAUAACUUCAGUUGAAGUAGAUAAAGCAGCAGGUGUGAAAGGAGAUGCCAUUCAAAGAGAUACAACAUCAUAUCAAAGGCUUGUUGGAAAACUGAUGUAUGCUACAAUAACAAGUCCUGACAUCAGUUAUGCAGUGCAGACACUAAGUGAAUUCAUCCAACAACCAAAGAAAUCCCACUUGGAAGCUGCAAACAGAGUGAUAAGAUAUUUGAAAGGAACUGUAGGACAAAGUAUAUGGCUUAAGACACAACCUACUGCAGAAUUGGUUUUUUGGUGUGACUCAGAUUAGGCUGCAUGUCCAAACACUAGGAGGUCUGUUACAGGUUAUGUGGUGUAGUUUGGUAGUUCAUUGAUAUCUUGGAAGUCUAAAAAGCAGCACACUGUCUCUAGAAGCUCAGCUGAGGCAGAAUAUAGGAGCAUGGCCUCAACAUUAGCAGAAGUGACAUGGUUGGAAGGUCUGUUCUCAGAACUGAGGGUGUCUAUCACUAAGCCUAUUGUCAUCUUUAGUGAUCAUAAGUCAGCCAUCCAACUAGCUGCUAACCCCAUAUUUCAUGAGAAAACCAAACACAUUGAAGUAGAUUGUCAUUUUAUUAGAGACAAGAUCAAAGAGGGGUUGGUUCAGCCCAUGUAUGUGCAGACAGGUCAACAAGUUGCAGACAUCCUUACUAAGGGUCUCAGUCAUGAUCAACAUUCAUACCUCCAUAGCAAGCUUGGUGUGCUCAAGAUUUUGCACCCUGCAGCUUGAGAGGGAGUGUUAAAACUCAUGAGAAUACAUUAUGAAAUAACUACUAAUCAGUUAGUUGGUACUGUUCCAUUGAUUUGUUAGCUAGUGGAUUAGGUGAUUAGUUAGUCGAAUCAGUUAGCCAGCUUUCAAGUUGAUUAGUGGGCCAAUCAAGUAGUUAGGAGGUUGUUAGGAAACUUCUAGAAGACCAUGUGUUAAUCAUGUGAGUCUAUAAAUAGGAGGUGAUCAUACAUUGUAUUGACUAACUUUUACUCAAAAACUGCAUUCCCAGUAACUUGUUCCCUUCUCUUAUCCCUUUGUUGAGCUCAAGCUCAGCUGCAAUGGCAGCAAUGUAUGAAUGCUAAGAGGUAUUUUAAUAGUAACCACCAUUUUUCUGCUUUUCGCUCGAGGACUAGACUUGGAUGAACCUCGUUAAAUACUUGUAUUAGGUUUUUUUGAGUUAAUGGCAAAAAACACAUUUGAACUAUCACCUGCCAUUAAAUUACAAUAAAAAUAAAAUGGAAAAUGAAUAGUAGAUGUUUGCUCUCUUUGUUUUCAUCUGCACACGAAUUUUAAGGUGCCGAUUGUAUAAAUUCUAGUAAAAUGAGGUUUACUUGGAUUCAACUCUUUUAUGAAAUAAUUGAAAUACUUUGUAUUAAUUUUAUCAAGGUAAGUAUAUAUUUAUGAAGGUUACACACUAUUUCUCAUUUCCACAAGUCACAUCAUACAGUGGUACAAUCACAUGAUGAUGAUGAUGAUGAAGAUUCAAAUGUUGAUGUUGCAGAACAUGAUGAUAAUUUAGAUCUUCGGUUGUUAUCUGUUCAGAAUAACCUGUAAUGAGAAUGGAAACUAUAGAUUAACAAUUUGAUACUGUUAUAGACUGUUGAUGCUAGUUCAUAACCCUAUGUUUUUCAUAAAUAUAAAUUUAUUACCAAUGUGGGACAAUUGGUUCAUAAAUUUUUACCCUCUUAUCAUUUCUCUAUUUUUCCAAUGUGGGACAAUUGGUUCAUAAUAGUAGCGUUAUUUAUUAGAUGUACGGGAAUGGGCAUUUAUAUGGUGAUUCUCUUGUCUUACUUUUUACUGUUGAUGUUAGGUACUUUUAACUGUUUGUAAAUGAAGCAUUACCAUCCGAAUUUGAGACUAUCGGGAAGCAGGUUAUAGACAAAUGUCAUCUCGAUUGUUGGGAUUUUGUCAAAAUCUAAAGACAUUGGAAGAUUCGAAAGAUGUCAAGUCAUUUGCAACAGAUGAUCCUGAUGAACAACGUUUACAUGUCUUCUGUUCUUUCGGAAUUUUUCAAAUAAGACAGUGAGAAUUCAGUGAAGAAAUUGGUGAGAUUAUGUAUAGAUAGGACACUGCACUCAUUCUGUUCUCUUUUUCCCUAUACAAGUUUAUGUUUUUUUCUCAUAAACUGUGAACCUUAAAUUCAGUUAUGCUAAUGACUUCAAAUGCAAGCAUUUAUAUCAGUCAUAUCCAUGCACCGAUACAUCAGAAAAGGAAACCGAGGUAGCAAAGACUAUUCAGUAGAUCGUGCAUAACCUAAGAACUUACUAAGAACUAGUUCAAUCUCUUAACUGAAUAACUCACUAAUUAAGUCGACACCUCUCGGUUCACUGACCUUAUCAAAAUGUAUGUUUUAGUUUUAAAAGCAAUUACUGAAAGCUCAUUUCGGAAUAUAUGUAAUAGCCCAAUAUAUAUUUUUAAAAUGAAGGAUUAAUUGGUAAUUUUAACCAAUUAUUAAUGUCAAUUAAGUGAAUUAAAUUGGGCAAGCCAAAAGCCGAAACCCUUUUUCUUCUUUAGUUUUUCCGUUACUGAAGGAUUAGAAUAUAAGGGUGUUUAGUUCCAUUAUUUUUGGUACAAAAAAAAAAAAAAAUUAGCACUAUGAGCUAGAAGUCUUUUUACUUUUGUUUGGGCCAUGGCGGCCAGUGCUCCUAAGAUCACAGAAGCAAUGCUGCAGAAAAAGAAGAUUUGUUGCACUGUAGCCCCAUAAGAACCAUAAAUAGAAACCCAUGAAAUAUUAGCAGAAAUAGAGAUUUUAGGCGCAAUUCAUAGGAUAUAUAUGAGUAAUUCAAAGGAAAUAUUGAAAUAUUUGAUAGGAUUGGUUAUGUUAGCAGAUAGAUUAAAGAUGUGAACACCGUAACUUCUCCUGCCAUAUGAAGGAACUCUUCUCUUAAGGCAUAACUUUUUGUGAGUUCAAAGACGGCAGAAACUGUUUCAAGUGAGAAGCAGUAGGUAUGUAGAAUUAGUUCUAAUUCAAAUUAGCACUAUGCUAUGGUAGUGGUAUUCUUGUCGAAGAAUUGUUAUGUAUUAUUCGAGAGAUGAUGGUCCAUCAUUAUGGGUAGCUUGAAUUAGUACGCAUCUUACAAAAUAGUAAAGUAUGGUCUCUGAUUUGUAUCUUUGAGCUACUGCUUGUUGGAAAUUGUUGGAAAUUAUUGAUUUUCACCUUGAAUUGCCUAUACAAAGUGGAGUAUUAAUAUUAUUGAACACGAGUAUGAUUUCAACUAGCAUAAUUGAUUUUAUUAAUUAAUAUAUUUGCUUAGAUUGAAGCCAUUGGAGUCUAUUUGGUUGAUGUUCUACGAGUUGCGAGGUUGGGAAAAGUGUUGUUAGCGAGGGUAGUGAGACUUCAAGCUUUGGUGCUUGCUUUUUAAAUCAGCUUUAUAAAAAAAUGUAUUUUUCUACCUAGUCCAUGUGUUGGGACAAGAGUGUUCUUGGUAGAAUUGGUGGUCUUUGAUCAACUGCGGAUAUAUAUUUUGUUAUGCAUAUUGAGAAUCAUUUGAUGGUGAGUUGUGAGGUGAUGUUGGGAUAUUGGAUAUAUUUACAAGGAGAAUAUAUGUGCUGACGUAAUAUAUUAGGGGCAUACCUAUGCUGCCGUAAUAUGUUAGGGGCCUUGUACUUGCUGUCAUGAUAUAUUUACUAGGGGCAUACAUGUGCUGCCGAAAUAUGAUAGAGGCAUACCUAUGCCGCCGUAAUAUGUUAGGGGUCUUGUACUUACUGUCGUAGUAUACUUUUGGGGCAUUAUAUAUGUUGUCGUGGACUUGUCGGGGUGCUAGGCUGAUCACCUUCACUGUCGUUUAUAAAAAGCCGUGAGAGUGGAUUGCGUUGAGAGAUACAUAGUGACUUUUGAAAUGUUUGUUGAACCUUAUUGAGCAUUAUAUUAUAAGAUAUAUGUUGUGCAUAUCAUUUAUGUAAUCGUUGUGCGUUGUAUUUUCUAAUACUUAUUUCAGGGGUAUUAAAUUAGCAGGUCGGGGAUCUUAGUAGGUUAUAUUUAUAUAUAGCUCACUCCUUACUUUACUUUCAUGUCUGCAGAUACUUUGUGGAAGGUGAGAUUAGUGGCUAAUGGUCCAUUUGUGAGGAUAUUAUGUUGCUGAGGUGAGUCUUCACAUUGUUCGGCGGGGCUGUCGUUUCAGAUCGAGCUAUUUUAGCUUAUAUUUCUCUUCAUUGGUUUGCAUGCCUGAGAGUUGAAAUUAUCUAUCUCUAUUUUAGAUGCUUCAUGAUCUUAGCGUGGAAUUUCGGCUAGAGAAUAAGUUCUCGAGUCCAUUGCGUUUUGCACCCUAAUGUAUGACCUCUUUUGUGAUUUACACCCUAAGCUCUUAUCUUUCUUGCAAAAUAAUGAAACUACUCUUUUUCUAUAUUUUGCACGAUGGCAAAAUUGCAAUAUGAAUAUAUUUUAAAAAAAAAUAGCAUAGAAUUAUUUUUAAAAAAAGUGCUAAAUUAACCAAUUAAAAGGUCCGAUUCAAUAAAUAAUUUUGUAAAUGUUCCUUCUAUGGGUGAAAUCUUAUUAUUAAAAUUUUAAUUAGUGAUAAAAUGGAUAAACGAUUUAUUCUGAGAACUAAAACAAUUAGGUCUCUCUUAUUACUAUUUUCACAUAGAAGAAGAGAACAAAUUUUGAAUUUGGUUAGAUUAAGAUCUUCUAUUGUAUCACUAUCGAUCAGUUAUUUUUAUGACUCAUCACUUUUUGUAUGAUAUUUAAUAUAAGCUCAUAUAAUUUUUUACUAAAAUGGAUGAAAGCUUAUAAGGUCAUUAAAACUUUAAUUAGGUAUCUCGAGUAUGGGAACUCCUGAAGCAGCUACGACUUCCUCAAGACCUCGUUAUGCGUGCACCUGCUGAUCAAACUUCUGUGUACAUCAAAGUUUUUUUAAUUCUUAGAUUAUCCAACAACAAAAAAAAAAUAAUCAUCAAUGCACUUUUAUAUGCAUCAAUAUUAUUCAUCUGGUUUAUAUAUGCAAUGUCAAAAGCUGCCAAGCGAAAAGUGGGUAUUUGAUUUGUAGUUUAGAAUUGUCAUCUGAGGUAAACUUUUAUGUGGUUUUGACAUAAAGCUUUCUGAGUUACCCAUAAUCUUUAGAGAGCUGGGAAGAAUGUUGAUCCCGUGAAAAUGACAUAGACAAUCAUUUUUUAUUUAACAGUUUCUCUAGUUUUGUGCCUUUUUUUAGGAGAAAAAAAUAUUUAUAUUUCAAUUUUGCCCUCGUGGAAAAUUUUUUAAAAGAGUAAGUUUCAUUAUUUUGCAAGAAAGAUAGAAGGUUAGGGUGCAAAUUAUAAAAUAAAAUAGGAUAGGGUGCAAAUCACAAAAGAGGUCAUACGUUAGGGUGCAAAACGCAAUGAACUCCUAGUUAUUGAUGCGUUAGAGUUGCACAUAUCUUAGUGCUUAUUAAUUGAAAAAGUGUAAGGAAAGUUGGUUGUCCCAACAGGUGGUAUUAGCGGGUGCUAGUCAGGUCUAGGAAUUAUUUUGGGACGUGACAAUAUAGCUAGAAGGAUUGAAAUUCAAGAUUUUACUGUUUGAACUUUAAAUUUUACUGUUACAAUACUAUGUUUUAGCAUUAUUCUCUAACUUCCAAGGAGAUGUAAUUUCUCUAUAUUUUAAAUAAGGGGGCAUCUAUUUCUCGACCGCUUUGAACUGUUUAUCUUUUGCCAAGGUUCUAACGGAAACAUCGUCUCUACCUCUGACGGUAAGGUUUGCGUAUACUCUACCCUCCCCAGAUCCUACUAUAUGUAUAAAGCACUACAUUUUGUAGAAAUAAAGGACCAUUCAUUAUAUUACAGGGGCCUUAGUGAACCUACUAUGUAAAGUUAAGGGACUGUUUGGGCUGAUAAAUUCUGCAGAUAUAAUUUCAGCCACUCAAAUGUUAUCUUGUUUAGGUACUUUUAUCUUUUGUUCUUUAUACAUUUGUUUAUUGUUACUCAUAAUAUUGUCAUUUAUUCUUUCCUUUUCUCAAAUACCUUUUUCAGUGAUUUUGAAGCUGUCAGAUCUGCCAUUGAAAGGUUAGUUUCCAUUAAUUAUUCUCUCAUUUUAUUAAAGUUUUAGAGUAAAAAACACUUGUAGUGGCUUAUCAAUGUAUAAUUUAGCUAUGUUUCUCCAACUCCUGAAAAAUAACCACAAUCUAUUUUGCGUACUGGGAGUUAAAUUAUUUUUACACGUUAAAUGAGCUAAAGCUAGGACUAAACUCACUGUUGUAACAUAACUGACCUGAACAUGAAACAGACUAAUAAAUCGCCUGAUCUUGUUUGGUUUAUGCUUUCCUUUUUUGCCAAUCUGCGUAUCGCGUUAUUUAUAAUACCAUUGACAUCUUGCAACCCUGCAGGUUUCAGGUCAUAACCGCAAACGAAAGAAACGAGAAUACAGUGGAUAUGGCUCAUGCAAGUGUGGCUUCUCUUAUGAGAACAAUAGAAUCGCUCUUGACGUCCAAUUCACCAAUGCAAACUCUAAUCUGUGAUCACAGAGACGAAAUUUGCGCUCUUCAUGAAAAGAUUAGUUCCCUGGAAGUAUUUCUCAAGAACUUUGAGAAAAACAAUGUUUCUGGGGAACUGACAGAUUUGGAAGUGCAGAUAAAAGAAGUUGCAAAUAUUGUUGAACAAACAAUUCAACUAAGAGUAACUGAAGUUGUAUUGAAAAGGCACAUGAGAGUAAAGGCACAUGACAGGCUUUCUGAUAGCCUGCAACAAGUAGCAGAGGAUAUUGAUCGUAUUUGGAAAGAGUCGACAAAUAUCCAGGAUAAGGGCAAACAUGCAUCAAAGGAAUCAACGGUUCAAGAGUUUCUAAGCUCAUCAAGAAAUAUUCUGAAUGUUGAGAAUAGUAUGGUUGGACGUGAUGAUCAAAGGAAAGAGUUGGUAGAAGAUCUUACUAGAAGCUACUGUGGUGAACCCAAAGUCAUCGCGAUUGUCGGGAUGGGUGGCAUAGGUAAAACAACCUUAGCGAACGAAGUUUACAAUGAUGCGUGCAUUCGUUCUCAUUUUGAUGUUUGUGCCUGGGCUACUAUUUCGCAACAGCACAAUGUAAAAAAAAUCUUGUUGAGCCUUCUGCGUUCUACUAAGAGUGAUUCAUUUGACAUGAACAAUGAAGCAGAGCUUGCGAAUAUGCUACAAAAGAGUUUAAAGGGUAAGAGAUAUUUAAUUGUAUUGGAUGACAUGUGGAAAACUGAAGCAUGGGAUGCCGUGAGACUAUGCUUUCCAAGUGAAAACAAGGGGAGUGGAAUAUUAUUGACGACCUGUAACAUUGAAGUAGCUCGCGAUGCUGGUACAGAGAAUCUUUCUGCAGAUGGAUUUAAUGGGUCCAGAUGAGAGUUGGAACCUUUUCAAAAGUGUUGCAUUUGCAAAUGAAGCAUUACCAUCUGAGUUUGAGACUAUUGGGAAGCAAAUUGCAGAGAAAUGUCACGGGUUACCACUAACUAUUGCCGUGGUUGCUGGGCUUCUCAAAUCUAAAAGGGUAGAAGACUGGGAAAAUGUUGCUAAAGAUGUCAAGUCAUUUGUCACAAAUGAUGUUGGAACGAUGUUCACGUGUGCUUAGGUUGAGUUACAAUCACUUGACUAGCGAUCUUGUCUAAUGCAUUUCGGAAUUUUUCCAGAAGACAGUGAGAUACCAGUGAAGAAUUUGAUGAGAUCAUGGAUGGCUGAGAGGUUCCUAAAGUUUGAAAAUGACUUGGAAGGAGAGGCUGAGAAGUGUUUGCAAGAGCUUGUCGAUAGAUGUCUAGUCCUCAUCUGCAAGAAAAGUCUAGAUGGAACAAAAAUUAGAUCAUGUAAAGUUCAUGAUCUAAUAUAUGACCUGUGCUUGAGAGAAAUUGAAAGGGAGAACAUUUUUAUCAUGAACGACAUUGUGCUUGAAUUUGAUUCAGGAUGGACAUAUCUCAGUUUGCGAGAAAUGAAGCUCUUUAAACGCGUGACUGGUGAUGAAAUUGAUUAUUGUCGCUCUGGUCUUUAUAGGGCUCUUCUUACCCCUGUACAUCGUCAGUUGAGAGAUCAUGACAACAACAAUCUUUUCAAUCGAACCCGUUCUAUUUUCUCUUUUUACCCCUGUACAUCACAUCUUUUUCGCAAAUCAGAGCUUAUUCAUUUCAAAUUACUCAAAGUCUUGGAGUUGAGAAACAUAAAGAUGGAUCAUUUCCCUGUACAGAUUCUAAGCCUCAUCUGGUUGAGAUACCUAUUAUUGGAUUUCCGUGAGUAUUUAGACAUUCAUUGUUCAAGGGCCUAUGCUAUGGAAAAUAACUUAUCCUGAGGAAAUUUUGGGACUAAUGCAAUUGAGACAUCUCAAACUGCCCGAAUUUUAUCUGCCAAAUCCUCCAAGCGUAUCUGCUGACAAAGGGAGUCAUGUGUGUUUUUCAAACAUACAAACUAUUUCUUCCAUGUCUCCAUGUUGUUGCACGAAGGAGUUUAUUAUGAGGAUUCAAAAUGUCAAAGAAUUAGGACUCAGUGCAUAUCAGAUUGACUCUUCUGAUGGGCCUCUCAACAGUCUUGUCCAUCUGCAGCAACUUGAAACAUUGAGUCUUACAUAUCGUUUUGGAGGAUUUUGGCCAGCAAGUGCAAAAGCUUUUCCAGCAACGCUCAAGAAGCUGAAGUUGGACAAAACUUAUCUAAGUUGGUCGUACUUGGACAUCAUAGCGGAAUUGCCUAACCUUGAGGUGCUGAAGCUGAUGUAUCGUGCUUGUGAUGGCGAAGAAUGGCGUCCAACUGUUAUGGGAUUUAAUCGAUUGAAGCUUUUGUUAAUUGUACAUAAUGAUCUCAAGUACUGGAAAGCCACGAAUGACAAUUUUCCUGUCCUUGAGCGCCUUGUGCUUAAAGAAUGCCAUUAUUUGAAAAAGAUACCCAUUGAGUUUGCAGAAAUCCACUCACUACAACUGAUUGAGUUAAAUUGGUGUCUUCCCGGACUUGAGGAAUCUGCUGCACGAAUUCAAAAAGAACAAGAAGACAUCGGAAACAACCCCGUGGAUAUUCGUAUCUCCGAUCCAUGUAAGUAUAUAGUAUUUAUUAAGGUAACAUCCUAUUUCUCAUUUUCACAAGUCAAGUCGUACACAAAAGUUAUUUAGCUUUGCCCCAUAUUCUUUCACAAAAGUAACUUUGACAAAAUUUGGUUGAAAUCCUACUUAAAGUAUAAGAGAAAUUAACAAGAAUAUCCCUUAUAUUUGAGGGUAGUUCAAAAUGGCCCCUUAAAUAUAUUUUUGAGGAGUAAAUUUCAUCCAUGGUCACUUAACUUUCUAUCUAUUACCCAAAAGUCAUUUUUCUAUCAUUCAUGAUCACUUAACUUUGUAUCUAUUACCCAAAGUCACUUUUCUUUCAUUCACCUCAUCCAUAGUCAUUUAACUUUACUCCGACCAUUACAAAAGUCACUAUGACUGGAUUUUACAAUAAUUCUAUCGGAAUAAUGAUGUGGCAACCUUAAUUAGUUCUUAAUUUUAAUUUAGGUGAAUAUAUAAUAUAUUACUCAUAUCUUGACCCUUUUUAUAUAUACAACCCAAUUUUUUUAUGAAUUAUUUAAUGAAAGAAUAUGAAUUUCUUAAUAGAUUAGAUUACCUAAUGAAGACUAUUUUCAUAAAAAAAAUUUGGUUAAUAUUUUUCUGAAAUAAAAUUAUACUUAUAUAUUCUUAACAUCCUCUAAAGUUGAGACAUGUGUUGGUAAAUUAUUUUUUCCACUAAUAUUAUGGUAUAUAGUUGAUAAAAUUAUUUUUUUCCCUCUAAAAGUGUGACAUUUAGUUGAUAAAAUUAUUUUUUUCGUACAUUCUUUUUCUUGCCACUUGAGUAUUUGCAUUCGGUAUAUCAUAAUAAUAUGAUAAACUAGUUUAUUUAUUGAGUUUGUCUUUAUAUUUUUUAUUGUUUGACUAAUCAAUUAAUUCUCUUAAAAGUUUUUAUUAUAUAAUAUUCAAUUUCUGAUAAAUUACAUAUUGUUUAAUUAAUUUAAUUGAUAAAUAUAAAAAUUAGAUAUCUUAUAAUUUCUUUAUCUAUUAAAGUACUUAUAUUUUAUAACUUUUAUUAACAAAAUUGUACGUUAAUAUAACAUUAUUUGUACAAAUUUUGACAAUACUCAUUCAAUGACACAAUUAAAAAAAAUUAUUUUAAAACUAUCUUUAGCAUGUUGAUUUAUCUUCAAAGAAUUAAAAUAAUUUUUUUUAAAAAGAGUGAUGGCCGGAGUAAAGUUUAAUGACCAUGGAUGAAAUGAAUGAAAGAAAAAUGUCUUUUGGGUAAUAGAUAUAAUGUUAAGUGACCAUAGAUGAAAUGAAUAAAAGAAAAAUGACUUUUGAAUAAUAGAUACAAAGUUAAAUGACCAUGGAUGAAAUUUCAAUUUUGUUACUUUAGUUUAAGCUUGCUAAAUGUGAGCACAUUUUAUCUAACUGUUACUCAUAGAGGUGGCAAAUGGAAUGUUUGGGCAGCUAAUGUCCAACCCUGUCAUUACAUUACAAUAAAAAUAAAAUGAAGAGCAGAUGUUUGCUCUCUUUGUUGCCAUUGCACACGAAUUUUAAGGUAUCGAUUGUAUAAAUUCUAGUAAAAUAGGGUUUACGUGGAAUCAAAAUUUUUAUGAAAUAAUUGAAAUAUCAAGAAGCUAAAUACUUUGUAUAAAUUUUUAAAUAUUGUUAGCUGGCCACCAUUUCCAACUUUCAAUAAAUAAUUCAGCUUUGUUCCCGGAUCCUUCAAAGUAUCUCCAUACAAAAAAAAAAAAAAAAAAUUAUUUCUUUCAUUAUAAGUAACUUUAUUUUGUUUUGUUGUUUUCUUCUGGUAACUUUAUUUACUAAAGAUAUUGUAUUUUAGGUCGCAUAUUUCAUGUGUUCAUAAUUAUAUUCAUACACUAUUACAAAAAUAAUAUGAAAUAAUAUUUAUUUACUUAAAUAAACUAAUGUAUGAACAAAAUAUUUAUUCUUAUUCAAUGCUUGUCUUGCUGGUGUAAAUAAAACAUACUGCUGAAUAGUUAAUAUAAGUUCUAGUCACAAAAAGUUCUUUUCUUUUAGAAUGACCAAAAUAACUAGUCAUAUUAGCAAAAAAACAAAAUUAGUACAUGAUAAUAAAUUUGUUACGACAUGCUCCAACUUCACGGGGUUCUAUUAUCCGUCUGAAUUACAUUUUAACGUAUUUUUGACAUCCUUUUUAGCUGAUAAGUGUAAUAUUAUAUAUCAGAUUGCAUAAACUUUCUGAAAAUGAAUGCAGAAUCCUCUGUUAAAACUUUUCUAAGUCAAAGAGGAAGAACUUGAAUCGAUUACAUCUCACAUAUCCCCGUAUGAUUUGCUCAAGAUGCUUUAUUGAUGAUCCAUAAUUUAGAGUUAGCGGAUUCAGAAUAUUUGUCGCACUUUUAAAUGAUUGUCAUAUGUAUGUUCUUGUGUCUGUCAGUAUGUGUGUGUUUUCUCACAUGAAGUUGAGUUGAAAGAUGUGAGUUUGGUUGGACACGCUCUAAAUCUGCAUCUGAAUAAUGUGACUUGUCGAACUUCUACUGAUGCUUCUUGUUUCUUCUCAGGGAAGGAGAGUGAUUCUGAUUCAGAAGAAUAUUUUUGGCGGAAGGAUUGAACUCUUGGGAUUUCAUUUCGGUUUCUUUGUCGCAAUGUGUGGUUUCCAAGGGGAUGUGAUCUCUUUUGUAUUGUAAUAUAUUUUUGCGUUCGUAGAAUUUUUAGUAAUAAUACUCAGUUGGACAUUUCUAAAUUUUUAGUUCAUGAGCUCACAACGUAAACAUGAUCACACUCAUUUUAGUUAGUAACGUUAUUUAUUAAAUGAAUGGAAAUGUGCAUUUAUAUGGUGAUUCUCGUGUUACUUUUAACUGUUGAUGUUCUGUUAGCGGCACAGCUAGCAGACAUAAAACCAAAAAGUUUAAAUGGUAAGUGUACUUCAUUGUUGACGGGUUCCAUGGAUCGAUCCAUGUGAGAGUUGAAACCUUUUUAAAGAUUAAACCAUCUAGUACCCCUAUAUUAUGAUUAACCCCCCUGCCCCCGGGCCCGCAAAACUAAAUUUUAGCAUGUCAUUGUCAACCUUUUUGCUAACGUGGCGCCUUUGAAGUGGGUUCUAGUGUCGUAGCAACUUUGAUCAUAGUUUGAGGUGGUACUAGAUGUUUAUCUCUGAAAUAAUGCUGUGUUUAUAAAUGAAGCAUUACCAUCUGAAUUUGAGACUAUCGGGAAGCAGAUUAUAGACAAAUGUCAUUCGGUUGUUGGGAUUUUGUCAAAAUCUAAAGACAUUGGAAGAUUCGAAAAAUGUUGCUGAAGAUGUCAAGUCAUUUGCAACCGAUGAUCCUGAUGAACAACGUUUACAUGUCUUCUGUUUUUCUGAAUUUUUCAAAUACGGCAGUGAGAUUUCAGUGAAGAAAUUGAUGAGAUUAUGGAUAGAUCGGGACACUGCACUCGUUCUGUUCUCUAUUUUGCCAUACAAGUUUAUGUUCUUUUAUCAUAAACUGUGAACCUUAAAUUCAGUUAUGCUAAUGACUUCAAAUGCAAGCAUUUAUGUAAAUCAUAUCCACGCACCCAUUUUUUAGUUACUAUUCAGCAUGCUUUGUUAUUAUUUCACAUCUGUUAUUUCUUUUUUCUUUUUCUUCGUCUAUCGGAAACAACCUUUCUACCUCUGAGGUAGGGGUAAGGUUCGCAUACACUCUACCCUCCCUGGUCAGUCAUUCAUGAAUGUUACUUUUAGUUUUUCUUGAAAAAAACCAAACAACUAAACCUCUUUGCUAAAAUUCCAGCAAGAUGUGUGUUCCCUAGAAGCAAAAAUGCCGAAUUUACCCCCAUGGAUAUUAUCAAGAAGCUGUACAGGCAAAUAUGAUGCAAAAUCUAUGUUCAGAUUCAUUUUCAUCGAUGAAAAUAUUAGCGUGCUAUUUGGAACUACAAAUGUAAUAAGUUUGAUUUCAGAUUCCAACCUAGCCAUGUCUUUUUGUCACAGCGGGAUCGGAAACAAAAUUGAGCUGAAACAUGUUCCCCUGAUUCGCGAAAUCCAACAAGCUUCACGACCACUUCAGCACUUUCGCUUACAUUUUGUGUGUUAAGAGGAUCUGACCAGAGUUUACUCGCAAGCUGUAGCCGUCUCCUCUGUUUAUUUUCUGGUGGAAUGUCCCAUUUCACGUAAAACAUUUCCCUUUCAUCUGCAAUUAGCUUCAAUCUCACCCUUUUCGCUAGAUAUUCCCUCUCCUGCAAUAUUCAAAAGCAAAGCAGUGGUCAGAUACCAAGAGUUGGUAAGUACGUAAACGACAGUGCUCCUGAAAGAAAAUUGUUAUGAUCGGGCAGAAAAUAAGCAAACCACAAGAAAAAGAUAAACAAGAACACACAGAUUUACGUGGAAACCCUUGCGGGAAAAACCACGAGCAGAGGCAAAGGAAGUUUCACUAUAAUGGAGAGAGAGUACAAUGUUGGAGACAAUAGUCUCAAUUUCAUGUAUGUGACAAGAGCCCACUAAUUCGCACUUAUAUAAUACGUGCGUACAAAUAGGUCCUAGGCUCAAAAACAUGACCAUGGGGGCGAAUUGAAAAUCACAAACAUGGGUCGCACCUCGAAACUUUCAGGUCUAGAUCAACAAAAUUCGGGUCACAACUCUAACAAAUAUAUUAUACCUUGAUGAGACAUAGCCAGCAAUCAGGUCAUCACCUAUGAGAGCAGGGAUCGCGUUACCAAGCUUUGCUAAGGUAUGAUUUAACCAUGUCAGCCUCCUAAGCUCUCUAUCCGCUUUAAAUGAGAAAAAUAGUAGAGCCAUCUUACCUUAUUCAUUUGUUUAUCGUUUGAAGGUAAACCAUUAAAUUAAUGUCACAGUACUUCUUUUGCAGCAACCAUAUUUGCAUACAGGCAGACAAGUGCUGCUAACGACAUUUACCAGCACAUCAAAACACAACACCUUCUCAGUGAUAGAACAACAAAAGGAAAUGAUCAAAUCCAUCUGUGAGUGUUUGUGAGUUUGUGAAAUUUGUGUUCCUUUCCUACAGCUAAAGCGUGGGAGUUGCGUUUGAAUCAAACUGACGUUAGCUAAGGAGUCCAUACUGUUUAAACUUUAAAUUUACCAUUAUUCUGUGGCUUCCAAGGAGGUGCAAUUUCUUUCUCUAGAUUUUUAAUAAGGGGACAUUUCUUUACUUUCUUAAACUUCGUGCCAAGACAAAAUCAGAGAAUCAAAUAAAAAUGAAGGGAAAAGACUCAAAUAUGCCAUUGAACUAUUAAAAAUGGUUCAUCUGUGUCAUCAAUUAAAAGUUUUGCUCAUUUAUGUCAUUGCCGUUACAAAACAGGCUCCUUUAUGCCAUUAUUUUUUAACUGGUGUUUUGUAAAACCACCUUUGUCAUGUGGCCUCUUAUUAGAGGUCUGCAUCACCAAAUUAGACUCAGUUAAUAACAUAAUCAUAUUUCAUUUUAGUUUGUCCUAUAUCAAUCAGAUUCAGUAAUGGAAUUUUUUUUAAAAAAAAAAUCCAAUGAAAAUCAUUUAUAAGAAAAUACAAAUACUGUGGGAGGGAGGAGGUGUUGAUUUCGAUGAAAUUGGAAACAGCCAGAAUCAACCAAUCAAACUCCUGACCUUGUAAGCUGAUGAACCUCAUGGACUAACUCCUUCUUAUCUUCCUCAACAUGGGCAACACUAGCCAUAGACAAUCUACUAAGGGAAUCUGCCACUACAUUGGCCUUUUCCGGGUGAUACAAUACACUCAUAUCAAAAUCUUUCAACAACUACAACCACCUUCUCUAAAAAAGAUUCAGCUCCCUUUGAUAAAAUAUAUACUAAAGACUCUUAUGGUCAGAGAAAAUGUCAACAUGAACACCAUAAGGUUAGUGCCUAAAAUUUUCAAGGAAAAAACCACAACAGCUAACUCCAAGUCGUGAGUUGGGUAAUACUUUUCGUGCUCCUUAAGUUGCCUAGAGGCAUAGGCUACCACUCUCUCCUUUUGGAUCAACACACAGGCUAACCGAACCCUGGAAGCAUCACAAUACACUACGAAUCCAUCUAACCCUUCUGGAAAAGCUAACACUAGUGCGAAAGUCAAUCUAUCUUUCAACUCUUGGAAACUCUUCUCACACCUAUCCGACCAUAUAAACUUCUUUUUCUUUUGGGUUAGCUUAGUCAAUGGUGAGUCUAUAGAUGAGAACCCUUCAAUAAAUCUCCUAUAGUAUCUAACCAAACCCAAAAAGCUUAUCAGAUGGAGUGAUGGGUCUAGGCCAGUGCCUCACUGCAUUAAUCUUCUGGGGAUCUAAUGAAUACCAUCCCCUAAAAUGAAAUGAAUCAAGAAAGUAACAUAUUCCAACCAAAACUCACAUUUACCAAACUUCACAUACAAUUGGCAGUCCUUUAGCGUCUGUAGCACUAUUCUCAAAUGAUCUCCAUCUCUUCCUCACUCCUGGAAUACACCAGUAUGUCAUCUAUAAAGACAAUGACAAACAUGUCCAAGUGAAGACCAUUUUCAUUGAUGAAUGAGUUGUUUUUUUCUUUUUUCACAACAAAGCGAUCAAUGGGUUGAAGAUCCUGCCAAUCAAAACAAAAAAGAAGGCAAAGUUGGCAAGCAAACAUAACAAGUGAAAGUAACUCAUCCCCAAAAAUUAAGUUCAACUCUUGAACAAUGUAUCCUCAGCAUAUGCAAAGCUGUUCAUCAAAAUGAACUUGUGUUGACAAAAACUCCAACAUGGAGGCUCUAUACUAGCCACUAGUCCAUGCACAUCCCUUCAAUUACACAAUAAUCCCCGAUAUAUUGAAUAAUAAUUCAUCAAUAGUAUGAAACAAUAUGUAAAAUUAUUGAAGUUGAUGAACUUCAUUGUAAGAGGAGGACAAAGGUGGAUUUAAGAUUUAAAUUUUAUAGGUUCAAAAUAUAAGUGUUUUCUCGUUGACCAAGACCAAAAAUGCAUCCUUUUGGGAAACACAAAGGAUCAUUUAUGUUCAGCAUUAGAUAUCAGGGACAUAAGUGAACCUACUAUUUAAUGUUAAGGGAUCGUUUAGGCUGUUUUCUCAAGAUAAUUGUUCAGAUAGCAUUUCAACCACUAAAAUGUUAUCUUGUUUAGGUACUCUUUAUAUUUUGUUCUUUAUACAUUUGUUUAUUGAUACUCAUAAUAUUGUCAUUUCUUCUAUCCUUUUCUCAAAUAUCUCUCAGUGAAUUUGAAGUUGUAUGAUCUGCCAUUGAAAGAUUAGUUUACCUUAAUUAUUCUCUCAUUUUAUUAAAGUUUUAGAGCAAAAAAAAUACUUGUAGUGGCUUGUCAAUGUAUAACUUAGCUCUUUGUAACAUUGAUUACGUGUUGUAUCCUUCAAAAGUUGUGCAUUUUUCUAAGGAUCUAACACGGGUGUGACAACUUUUUUAAAAGUCGUCCCAGCAACAUAGAAAACACUACCUAAGUAAGCUAAGCGGAGUUUUGAACCACAAUCUUUUUUGCAUACUGGGAUUUGAAUUAUUUUUACGCGUUAAAUGAGCUAAAGCUACUGAGUUUGGGACUGAACUCACUGUUACCAUUACCUGAUCUUAUUUAGUUUAUGCGUGCCUUUUCAGCAAAUCUGUGUAUCUCGUUAUUUGUAAUAUCAUUGACCUCUUGCAACCUGCAGCUUUCAGGUCAUAACCGCAAAGGAACGAAACGAGAAUACAGUAGAUAUGGCUCAUGAAAGUGUGGCUUCUCUUAUGAGAACAAUAGAAUCGCUCUUGACAUCCAAUUCGCCGAUGCCAUCUCUAUCCUGUGAUCAGAGAGAAAAAUUUUGCGCUCUUCGUGAAAAAGUGAGUUCCCUGGAAGUAUUUGUCAAGAACUUUGAGAAAAACAAUGUUUCUGGGGAAAUGACGGAUUUUGAAGUAGAGGUAAAAGAUGUUGCAAGUGCUGCUGAAUACACAAUUCAACUGAGACUAACAGAAACUGUACUGGAGUAAAUAAAAGCCAGAAAAAAAAAAAGGCGCGCCGAAGGUUUCGUCAAAGCCUACAACAAGUAGCAGAGGACAUUGAUCGUAUCUGGAUAGAGUCAACAAAGAUUCAAGAUUAAGGCAAACAAGCAUCAAAGGAAUCAACGGUUCAAGAGUUUCCAAGUUCGUCAAAAGACAUUCUGAAUGUUGAAAACAGUAUGGUUGGACGUGAUGAUCAAAGGGAACACUUGUUAAAGGAUCAGACAGGAGUAGACCCAAAGUCAUCCCGAUUGUCGGGAUGGGAGGCAUAGGUAAAACAACCUUAGCGGAAGAAGUUUACAAUCAUGAAUCAAUUCUAUGCCGUUUUGAUGUUCGUGCCUGGGAUACUAUAUCUCAACAGCACAACGUAAAGGAAAUUUUGCUGAGCCUUCUGCAAUCAACGAUCAAAAUGGAUGACACGGUUAAGACGAAAGGUGAAGCAGAGCUAGCAGACGUGCUGCAAAAAAGUUUAAAGAGAAAGAGAUACUUAAUUGUCUUGGACGAUAUCUGGAGUUGUGAAGUGUGGGAUGGCGUGAGACAAUGCUUUCCGACUAAAGACAAUGCAGGGAGUCGAAUAUUGUUGACGACCCAUAACACUGAAGUAGCUCGCUAUGCUGGUGUAGAGAAUCUUUCUUUGCGGAUGAGCUUCAUGGAUCAAGAUGAGAGUUGGAGUCUUUUCAAAAGUGCAGCAUUGUCAGGUGAAGCAUUACCAUAUGAGUUCGAAGCUGUGGGAAAGCAAAUCGCAGAUGAACGUCACGGGUUACCACUAACUAUUGUCGUGGUUGCUGGACUUCUCAAAUCUAAAAGCAAUAGAAGAUUGGGAAAGUGUUGCUAAAGAUGUCAAGUCAUUCGUCACAAAUGAUCCAGAUGAACGAUGUUCACGUGUGCUUGGGUUGAGUUACGAUCACUUGACAAGCGCCUUGAGCAUGAAUGGCAUCCAAAUGUUAGGAGAUUUGCUCGAUUGAAACUUUUGUUAUCAAAGCAAAUGCCUUUCAGUUUGAGAACUUGAAGGUUCUGAAGAGAAGCAAUUUCUGGUAAAUGCUGAGGAUGCAGGAAAUUCAGGUUUCGAUUAGUAGUGUUUUCUUGUUCUAACUCGUAACAAUCAGUUCGUGAAUUAAAUUAAUAGUUUGAGCUAUUGUCUUCCUUUUGGGAUUAUGUAACGAGACAUUCAAAGUUGAGCGUAUGAACUUGAAAUUUUUUUUAUUAAGUCAAUAAAGCUUAAGUAGAUUAAUACAAACUAAAGAAGAACAAAUGUAGAUAGUGAUUCACAAUGUUACCCCAAAAAAAAAAAAAAUGUAGAUAGUGAACAUAGGGGUAACAAACUCCACUAAGUCAAUAUCUUCUUAUCCGUGACAUCUGAAAAUUGAAAUAAGAUAGUGAGCGUCAAACACUUCUCAAUAAGAAAAAUAUACUUCGGAGAGAGUUGUUAUUGAAAAAAACAUGAAAACUAAUAUAUUAGUGUAGAACUUAGCUUGAAUACCUGUAAGUUGUCUAGAAGCGAUUAUUUCUUCUUCUGUAAUUCCUUUGCCUUCGCUGCUUCUUUCUCCUCGCCGUCAUAAUUUUGUGCUCCAGCUCUUCAAUGAUUCUUUCAAGCCAUUUCAUAUUUCCAGUUGAGAUCAAGAAAUAUAUUAUGGAUAAUCCAAUACAUAGUCCGGUUCCAUACCCCAUAAGAGCUGCUUUCAAAAAAUCAUUCAGAAAUUCAGAGUUGCAUCCAAAUGUUUGUCAAUGAAUGUCUUGGCAAUGAAUGGCAUCCAAAUGUUAGUAGAUUUGCUCGAUUGAAACUUUUGUUAAUUGAUAUUAAUGAUCUCAAGUACUGGAAAGCCACAAAUGACAAUUUUCCUAUCCUUGAGCGCUUGUGCUUAGAAGUUGCUAUAAUUUGAAAGAGAUGCCCAUUCAGUUUGCAGAAAUCGACACACUACAACGGAUUGAGUUAACAAGGUGUCUUCCUGAACUUGGGGGAUCUGCUGCACGAAUUCAAAAAGAACAAGAAGAGCUCGGAAACAACCCCGUGGAUGUUUGUAUCUCCAAUCCAUGUAAGUAUAUAUUUAUCAAGGUGACUUUCUGUUUCUCAUUUACACAAAAGUUAUCCAGCUUUUCCCCAUAUUCUUUCACAAAAUAAUUUCAAAGGCCUCUCCUCAAGUUCCACUUCACAUUGUUGUUGAUCUCCCAUGUGACAUAUAAUACAACCUUACUUAAAUGAACUAAUAGUAUGAACAAAAUAUCUAUUCAUAUUCAUUGCUUGUCUCAUGCAAAAUGAUUUAUUAUAAUGUUAUAGAAAGUCAAAAUUUGAAUAAGAAGCUCAAGAUGUAGGAAAACAUUUAGCUUACAUAUUUUUCAAUUUGGUAUAGUUUUGGAUGAAUGCAUAAAUUAUCUUGUUAGCAUCAAAUAUCGUGUCUCACGCAAAGAGGGCAAAGAUGUGGCCGGUUGAGUUAACUAGGUGGCAAGUGCAAUAUUAUAUAUCAGAUUGCAUAAACUUUCUGAAACUGAAUGCAGAAUCCUCUGUUAAAACUUUUCUAAGUCAAAGAGGAAGGACUCAAGUCGAUUACAUCUCACACAUCCCCGUAUGAUUUGCUAUAGAUGCUUUAUUAACGAUCCAUAAUUUAGAGUUAGCGGAUUCAAAAUAUUUGUCACACUUGUAAAUGAUUGUCAUAUGUGUGUUUUUGUGUCUGUCAGUGUGUGUAUGUGUGUUCUCACAUGAAGUUGAGGUGAAAGAUGUGAGUUUGGUUGAACACGCGCUAAAUGUCCUCACGAAUAAUGUGACUUGUCGAACUUCUACUGACGCUUCUUGUUUCUUGUUAGUGGAGGAGAGUGAUUUUGAUUGAGAAGAAUAUUAGCAAAGGAGUUCAAGGGCAGAAGGAUUGAACUCUUGGGAUUUCAUUUCGGUUCCUCUGUUGCAAAUUACUACUAAAUUAUCGGUUUCAAGCAAUGUGUGGCUUCCAAAGAGAUGUGAUCUCUUUUGUAUUGUAACAAUAUUUUGGAGUUGAUAGAAUUUUUAGUAAUAUUACUCAGUUGGGCAUUACUAAAUUUUUGAGUUCAUGAGCUCACAAUGUAAACACGAUCGCACACUCAUUUUAGUUGGUAACGUUAUUUAUUAAAUGAACGGUAAGGUCCAUUUAUCUGGUGAUUCUCUUGUGUUACUUUUCUACUGUUGAUAUUCCAUUAGCGGCAGAGCUAGCAGACAUGAUACCAAAAUGUUUAAAUGGUAAGAGGUACUUCAUCGCAGACUGGUUUCAUGUGAGAGUUGGAAACUUUAUAAAAAAGCAGUGUUUUGUAAAUGAAGCAUUACCAUCUGAAUCUAGACUAUCGUCAAGCAGAUUAUAGACAAAUGUCAUCUUGGUUGUUGGGAUUUUGUCAAAAUCUAAAGACGUUGGAAGAUUCGAAAAAUGUUGCCGAAGAUGUCAAGUCAAUUGCAACAGAUGAUCCUGAUGAACAACGUUUACACGUCUUCUGUUUUUCUGAAUUUUUCAACUACGGCAGUGAGAUAUCAGUGAAGAAAUUGAUGAGAUUAUGGAUAGAUCAGGACUCUGCACUCAUUCUGUUCUCUUUUUCGCUAUACAAGUUUAUUUUUUUCCUCAUAAACUGUGAACCUUAAAUUCAGUUAUGCUAAUGACUUCAAAUGCAAGAAUUUAUAUAAAUCACAUCCGCGCACCUAUUUUUUUAGUUACUAUUCAGCAUGCUUUGUUAUGAUUUCACAUCUGUUACUUCCUUUUGGAUUGCAUUGAUUUAUUUUUCCUCGUCUAUGGGAAACAGCCUUUCUACCUCUGAGGUAGGGCUAACAUUCAUGAAUUUUACUUAAGUUUUUCUUGAAAAACAACAAACAACUAAAUCUCUUUGCUAAAAUUCCAGCAAGAUGUGUGUUCCCUAGAAGCAAAAAUGCUGAAUUUACCCCCAUGGACUAUUAUCAAGAAGCUGUAUAGGCAAAUAUGAUACAAAAUCUACGUUCAGAUUCAUUUUCAUUGAUGAAAAUAUUAGCGUGCUAUUUGGGACUACAAAUGCAAUAAGUUUGAUUUCAGAUUCUAACCUAGCCAUGUCUUUUUGUCACAGCGGGAUCGGAAACAAAAUUGAGCUGAAACAUGUUCCCCUGAUUCGCGGAAUCCAUCAAGCUUCGCGACUACUUCAGCCCCUUCGCUUACAUUUUGCGUGUUAAGAGGAUCUGAUCAGAGUUCACUCGCAAGCUGUAGCCUUCUCCUCUGUUUACUUUCUGGUGGAGUGUCCCAUGUCACGUAAAACAUUUCCCUUUCGUCUUCAAUUAGCUUCAAUCUCACCCUUUUCGCUAGAUAUUCCCUCUCCUGCUUCAGUGGCUUAAUACCGUAUAUUCAAAAGCAAAGCUGUGGUCAGAUACCAAGAGUUGGUAAUUACGUAAACGACAGUGCUCCUGAAAGAAUAUUGUUAUGAUCGGGCAGAAAAUAAGCAAACCACAAGCAAAAGAAAAACAAGAACACACAGAUUUACGUGGAAACCCUUGCGGGGUUCCAACUCUCAUCUUGAUCCAUAAAGUUCAUCUGCAUAGAAAGAUUCUCUGUACCAGCAUAACAGGCUACUUCGUUGUUACGGGUAGUCAACAGUAUGCAACUCCCUGCAUUGUCUUCAGUUGGAAAGCAUCGUCUCACGCCAUCCCACACUUCACAACUUCAGAUAUCAUCCAAGACAAUUAAGUACCUCUUUCUCUUUACACUUUUCUGCAGCAUGUCUGCUAGCUCUACUUCACCUUUCGUCUUAACCGUGUCAUCCAUUUUGAUCGUCGAUUGCAGAAGGUACAUCAAAAUUUCCUUUAUGUAGUACUUCUUUUGCAGCAACCAUAUUUGCAUAUGGGCAGACAAGUAGUGGGAAUAACUGAAAGUGUUGUUAACGACAUUUACGAGUACAUCAAAACACAACAGCUUCUCAAUGAUAGAACAACAAAAGGAAAUGAUCAAAUCCGUCUUUGAAUGUUUGUGAGUUUGUGACAUUUGUGUUCCUUUCCUACAGCUAAAGCGCGGGAGUUGCAUUUGAUUCACCCUGACAUUAGCUAAGGAGAGUUCAUACUAUUUAAACUUUAAAUUUACCAUUAUUAUGUGGCUUCCAAGAAGAUGCAAUUUCUCUAGAUUUUUAAUAAGGGGGUAUUUCUUUACUGUCUUAAACUUCGUGCCAAGUCAAAACCAGAGAAUCAGAGGUGGAUUUAUUUUUAACCUUUGUCUCCAUUAUUGAAGUUGAUGAACUUUAAACACAACAGCUUCUCAAUGAUAGAACAACAAAAGGAAAUGAUCAAAUCCGUCUUUGAAUGUUUGUGAGUUUGUGACAUUUGUGUUCCUUUCCUACAGCUAAAGCGCGGGAGUUGCAUUUGAUUCACCCUGACAUUAGCUAAGGAGAGUUCAUACUAUUUAAACUUUAAAUUUACCAUUAUUAUGUGGCUUCCAAGAAGAUGCAAUUUCUCUAGAUUUUUAAUAAGGGGGUAUUUCUUUACUGUCUUAAACUUCGUGCCAAGUCAAAACCAGAGAAUCAAAGGUGGAUUUAUUUUUAACCUUUGUCUCCAUUAUUGAAGUUGAUGAACUUUAUUGUAAGAGAAGGACAAAGGCGGAUUUAAGAUUUAAAUUUGACCGGAAUGCAUUAGAUAUCAGGGACCAAAAAUGCAGCCUUUUUGGAAAGAUAAAGGACCAUUUAUGUUCAGCAUUAGAUAUCAGGGACCUAAGUGAACCUACUAUUUAAUGUUAAGGGACCAUUUAGGCUGUUUUCUCAAGAUAAAUUCUUCAGAUAUCAUUUCAGCCACUCAGAUGUUAUCUUGUUUAGGUACUGUGUAUCUUUUGGUUUUUACACAUUUGUUUAUUGUUCCUUUAGAUUCGACAAUCCCAGCCAAUAGUUAGUGGUGACGCUUCCCUUAUGAUCUUGAAUCUUUUUCGGCUCUUCUUGGACACGGUCAAUGUCCUUUGCUACUUGCUUCUCGUAGUCCAAAUUCAAUUGUCUUGAGCGAUAUUUGCAAAAUCUUUUCUUCAGGCUUCCAAAUCUGUCAUUUCCCCAUAAUCACUGAUUUGUUUCUCAGUGUUCUUGAGAAACAAAUCAGUGAUUAUGAGGUACAAUUCGAAGGGGAUCUCUGGAAUAAACGGAUUCAAGCAGUGAAAAUAACAUUUUGCAGAAUUCAAGGUAAAACUGCAUACGAUAAGCCCUAGUCGUUCGGUCCUUCGCGGGAGCUUUAAUGCAUUUAGCUGCCAUUUUAUAAAGGCACAAUACAUAAACAUGCCUUUUAACUUGGAAUCAAAUGACAUCUAUGAUCUCAAACUUUGGGUGUGCACAAGUAGACAGGUUGUCCAUACCAUUUUUCAAAUGGUGUCUUCCCACCAAUUGCAGCAGAUGGUAGACUAUUAAUAAUAUGGCACGCAUAUGUUAUUGCCUCAGCCCAGAAUUCAUUGCCCAAGCCAGCAUUGGAGAACAUACAACGUACCUUCUCCAGCAAAGUACGGUUCAUGCGUUCUGCCACUCCAUUUUGUUGUGGUGUAUGUCUGACAGUGAAGUGUCUGACGAUGCCAUUAUCUUCACAGACCUUGUUGAAAAUAUCAUUCUUGUAUUAACCUCCAUUAUCUGUGCGAAGACUCUUGAUUUUUCUGCCUGUUUGAUUUUCUAUCAUCGUCUUCCAUUUGGCAAAAAAUUCCAACACUUCAUCUUUUGUUUUCAUGGUAUACACCCAUACUCUUCGAGAAAAGUCAUCAACAAAGGUUACAAAAUAGUGUUUCCCACCUAAUGAAGGUGUUUUGGAAGCACCCCAAACAUCAGAAUGUACAUAAUCCAAAAUACCUUCAGUAUUAUGGAUAGCUGUACCAAAUUUAACCCUUGUUUGCUUUCACUUCACACAAUGUUCACAAAAUUCUAAGUUUCCAGAUUUAAGGCCUUUUAACAAUCCUUGAUCUGAUAGAAUUUUCAAGGAUUUGCCUCCAGCAUGUGCCAAGCACAUAUGCCAUAGCCUGGUUGCUUCUGCCUCUUUGUCAGCACUGGAUGUUAUUGUUGCUGUCCCAAUAAUUGUACUGCCAUGAUAAUGGUACAAAUUAUUGUUCUUUCGAUUAGCCUUUAUUACCACUAGUGCACCGAAGUAUAUCUUCAUCAAUCCAUUUCCUGUAACAAUUUUGAGCAUUUUUGAAUCAAGGGUUCCCACAUAAAUGAGAUUCUUCUUCAAAUCCGAUACAUAUCAAACAUCUGUUAAUGUUCUGAUCACUCCAUCAUGGUUCCUCAAACGUAUUGAACCAAUUCCAUAUGCGGUAACAGGACUAUUGUCUGCUGUGUGGAUAACUCCAAAUUCUCCUUCUUCAAAAUCAACGAACCAGUCCCGAUUGGGACACAUAUGAUGGCUAUAAGCCGAGUCAAUCAGCCAUACAUCUGAUGGUUUUGAUGACUUUGCUGUAACCAAUGAGAAAUCUGAGUCGUCAUAAUCAGCUAUAUUUGAAUCCAUUACCGCCUUCCCUUUGUUAGGUUUGGUCUUAUUCUUCAAUUUUGGACAGUCCUUCUUCCAGUGCCCUUUUUCUCGACAAAAGACACAUUCAUCUUUGCUAGGUCUGGACUUUGACUUGGAUCUUUCCUUCUUUGUUCUCGUUUGAUCUUGAGAAUGUCCUCUCGUUACUAGUGCUUCUUCUUCUUCGCUCUUCUGUUUCUCUUUCUUUUUUUGUUCAUAGCUGUUCAAAGCUGAACAAAAUUCUUUCAGAGAAACUUCUUCCCUCCCAUGAAGUAGAGUAGUUUCAAGAUGCUCAUACUCAUAGGGAAGUGACCCCAACAACAUCAACGCUAGAUCACCAUCAAUAAAAGUUACAUCCAUAUUUUGCAAAUCUGUAACUAAUUUAUUGAAAUUGGCGAUAUGAUCAUUUAUUGUGGUACCAGGAACAUAGGUGAAGUGAAAUAUUUUUUUCUUCAGAAAAAGUUUAUUCUGAAUAUUUUUCUUCAAAAAUUUAUCCUCCAAUGCCCUCCACAAUUUACUUGCAGAAGUUUCCUUUGUGAAUGGAUACUUCUGUUCUCUUCCAAGGAAGGACCGAAUGGUACCACAAGCAACACGGUUGACGUAUUUCCAAUCUGCAUCUUCAAUAUUUUCUGGUUUUUCUUCUUCUAAGGCAAGAUCUAAUCCUUGUUGAAAAAGGACAUCUUCAACCUCGCAUCCCCACAUCCCAAAGUGUCCUGUUCCAUCAAAAAUUUCAACUACAAAUUUCCCAUUUGUAUGAAUUCUUGACAUAAGCGAAGAUACCAACGACGUGUUAUUGACACCUGACGUGGACACCUUUGUCAUGUCUGAGCUGGAUACUUCUUGAUUUCCCUCCCAUUUUGUUCUAUAAAUACUAUUUAAUAGCUGGCUCUACACAGACCAAGAUAAUUCUUUUCUGGUGUGGAAGAUCAGACUACGCCGCAACCACCGAGCAUACUAAGAAAAAAUCUUGACAAUACAGACCCAAGAAAAUAUCCUUUCUAAUGUGGAAGAUCAGGCUAUGCUGCAACCACAGAGCAUACUCAGACAAAGUCCAGGCUUUGAUACCAAUUGUUGCCGAAACAGACUGGGUAGAGUGCGAUUAUUGCACAACUACUACUCCAAAAUAAAAGCCACAAAAAAUAGUAAAAGAGGAAAAAUAAAAAGAACACUAAAUUUACGAGGUUCGAUAAAAAUGUUUUACCUACGUCCUCAGACACAACUGACCAAAUUUUAUUCCACUCCAAAGAUACAAGUGAAAUAUUACAAAAGAGAGAAAAAUCAAAAUGCCUUAAGAAGAUAAGAAGGCAAUUGUCAAAGUUGUGUUUAAAACUAAAACAUUUGGGUUCCUUUUAUAGGGAGGAAGGAACCCUCAUUUUACUUCACAUCCGAUGUGGGAUAUUUCCCACUUUCAACAAAGAAGACCUCGGAAACAACCCCAUGGAUGUUCGUAUCUCCAAUCCAUGUAAGUAUAUCUUAUUUAUCAGGGUCACACUCUGUUUCUCAUUUCCACAAGUCAAGUCGUACACAAAGUUAUGGCCUCUUAAAUAUACUUUUGAGCAGUUUUGAUACUUUAGUUUAAGCUUGCUAAAUGUGAGCAUAUUUGGUCUAAUUGUUACAUAUACGGGUGGAGAAUGGACUGUUCUGGCUUAAGUUGGGAGGGUUAAGAUGGGUUGAACGAACAAAUGGGCUAUUGAGUAGAUGUUUGCACUCUUUGUUGUCAUUGCACACUAAUUUUAAGCUAUCGAUUAUAUAAAUUCUAGUAAAAUGAGGUUUACUUGGAUUCAACUCUUUUAUGAAAUAAUUGAAAUAUCAAGAAGUAUAUAUUUAUCAAGGUUACAUGCUGUUUCUCAUUUCCACAAGUCACAUCAUACAGAUGUUGAUGAAGAAUAUUCAGAUGUUGAUGUGGCAGAAGAUGAUGAUAAUGAAGAUUCUAAUGCUGAUGCUGCAAAACAUGAUGAUAAUUACGAUCUUAAUUGGUUGGUUGAUGUUCAGAAUAACCUGUAAUGUAAAGGGAAACAAUGGAUAACAAUUUGAUACUGUUAUAGACUACUGAUGCUAGUUCAGCACACUAUGUUUAUUCAUAAAUGUAAAUGUAUUACAUUCUUUGGUUUUAUAGAGUCUACGAAGCCUGUUGUGCUAUAUCCCAUAUAGAAAUUAAUUAUUUUUUUAAAAAAUACAUAUAAUAGUCUACGAAGCCUGUUGUGCUAUAUCCCAUAUAGAAAUUAAUUAUUUUUGUAAAAAAUACAUAUAAUAUUGUCAAAAAAAAUAUAUAAAAAAAAAAAUUGAACAAUCAUCUUUUUGAUAUAUUAUCCCUAUGGUCUUUAUAGGGCACUUGAGAGAUCAUGACAACUACCAUCUUUUGAAACCAACCCAUUCUAUUUUUUCUUUUGGUUUUUUAUGAUUCAAUUUUUAUGCUUGAAUCAGAGCUUAUUCAUUUCAAAUUACUCAAAAGUCUUGGAGUCGAGACACAUAGAGAUUGAUAAUUUCCCUCUACAGAUACUAAGCCUCUUCUGGUUGAUGUAAUUGUUAAAGUGUUGAUCGAUCAUUUGUAACUUGUCCAGUGCAAAUUUGGGGACUAAUGCAAUUAAGGUAUCUCAAAUUGCCCUGAUUUUAUUUGCCAGAUUGCCCAAGUGGAUCUGUUGACAAAGGGAGCCACUUGGAUUCUUCAAACUUACCAACUAUUUCAUACUUGUCUCCACGUUGUUGCACGAAGGAGGUUAUUAUGGGGAUUCAGAAUGUUAAAAAAUUAGAAAUCCAAAACUUUUUGUUUAUCAGAAAUGAUAAAAAAGAAACCGUUCCUCUUGUGGGCUGUCGAUUGAUUAGCAUACAGAAAGGGCAUUGCUUCCUUUUGUAAGAGGCACUUGAUGGCUAUAAAUACCUGUAUUUUUGAGAAUUAGACACAGGUGUGACAACCUUCUUAAAGAGUUCCAGCAACAUAGAUAUAUAGUACAAGUCUGUAUUUAUAAUAGAUCCAAAAAUCAUCCUAAGAAAACAUUACUAAGUAAGCAAAGCGGAGCCAGGAUUUUUAGUCUAUGGGUUCUGAACCGUAAUUUUUUUUUGGGAGUUAAAUAUUUUCACACACUAAAGAAGAUACAGCUACUGAGUUUUUCCGAAUACAUUGAAUCCCUUCCACGUGAAGGAGUGAACCCGACCACUUCACGCUGAAGGUCAUACUGGUCUACGAACCACCUUUCACUUGGAUUUGUCCUUCCCGACCUCUCUUAAGCCCAUAAACGAUCGUUUAGGUAGAAUUAAGGCUGUCUCUGUCCCUGUCAGUAAGGACCAUUUAGCACCAACAUAGCAACUGUAGAAUGCUGUGCGACUCGUUUGCCGCUCUGCGACAGUGAUUACCAAGAAUAUUGCCUUAAAAACUCAUUUGUUGUAUCUCUCUCAUGUAUUGUUAUAUCAGUUGAAAUUCUAAUUCACUUCUUGAUUAUUUAUGUGAUGAGCUAUAGAAAUGGACCUUUGACCUAACUCAGCGCAGAAGCUAGCUGAAGAGGUGAGGAUUGCCGGAUAUCAUAUAAAGAGGCCGAAUGCUCCCUAACCAUGAUAAAUUACUCAAGGGGAUAUGAUCUCUUUCGUAUUGUAACAUAUUUUUGAGUUCAUAGAAUUUUUAGUAAUAUUACUCAGUUGGGCAUUACUAAAUUUUUUAGUUCAUGAGCUCACAAUGCUUAACACGAUCGCACACUCAUUUUAUUUGGUAACGUUAUUUAUUAAAUGAACGGAAAUGUGCAUUUAUAUGGUAAUUCUCUUGUUUUAGUUUGAAAGCAAUUACUGAAAUUUCAUUUCGGAAUAUAGCUAGAAGGAUUGAAGUUCAAGGAUUUCAUCAUAGUUCUUACUGUUUGAAUUUUAAAUUUACCAUUACAUUACCAUGUUUUAGUAUUAUUCUCUCGCUUUCUCUAUAUUUUAAAUAAGGGACAUCUAUUUCUCGACUACUUUGAAAUGAUUUGCGUACACUCUACCAUCUCCAGAUCCCACUACGUGUAUAAAGCACUAUACAUUUUUUUCCAAGUGCACCCUUUUUUACAGAGAUAAAGGACCAUUUAUGUUCAACAUUAGAUUACAGGAACCUAAGUGAACCGACUAUGUAAAGUUAAGGGACUGUUUGGGCUGAUAAAUUUAGCAGAUAUCAUUUCAGCCACUCAAAUUUUAUCUUGGUUAGGUACUCUUUUAUCUUUUGACUCAUAAUAUUGUCAUUUCUUCUAUCCUUUUCUCAAAUAUCUCUUGCAGUGAUUUUGAAGCUGUCUGAUCUGCCAUUGAAAGGCUAGUUUCCAUUAAUUAUUCUCUCAUUUUAUUAAAGUUAUAGAGCAAAAACAAUACUUCUCUCAUUAAUGUAUAGUUAUGUUGCUCGAAAUCCUCAAAAAUAACGUUGAUUACGUGUUGGAUCCUUCAAACGUUGAGCAUUUUUUUAAGGAUCUGACAUGGCUGUGGCAACUUUUUUAAAGAGUCGUCCCGGCAACAUAGAAAACAUUACCUAAGUAAGCAAAUCAGAGUUUUGAACCACAAUCUUUUUUGCUUACUGGGAAUUAAAUUAUUUUUACGCGUUAAAUGAGCUAAAGCUACUGAGUUUGGGACUGAACUCACUGUCACCAUUACUUGAUCUUCUUUAGUUUAUGUGUGCCUUUUCAGCAAAUCUGCGUAUCUUGUUAUUUGUAAUACCAUUGAUCUCUUGCAACCCUGCAGGUUUCAGGUCAUAACAACAAAGGAAAGAAACGAGAAUACAGUAGAUAUGGCUCAUGCAAGUGUGGCUUCUCUUAUGAGAACAAUUGAAUCGCUCUUGACAUCCAAUUCUCCGAUAAAAUCUCUAAUCCCAAACCGAAAACUUUGCGCUCUUCGUGAAAAGGUUAGUUCCCUGGAAGUAUUUCUCAAGAACUUUGAGAAAAACAAUGUUUUUGGAAAAAUGACGGAUUUUGAAGUAGAGGUAAAAGAAGUUGCAAAUUCUGUUGAAUACACAAUUCUACUAAAGGUAACAAAAACUAUAAUGGAAAAAAAUAAAAGCAUCAUAGGAAUCACUGGCUCAAGAUUUUUCAAUGGAAUCUCAAAUAUAUGGACAUGCCGAAAGUUCCGUAAAAGCCUUCAACAAAAGUUCCGUAAAAGCCUUCAACAAUUAGCAAAGGACAUUGAUCAUAUCUAGAAAGAGUCAACAAAGAUUCAAGAUAAAGGAAGACAAGUGUCAAAGGAAUCAUUGGUUCAUGAUUUCUCAAGUUCAACAAACAAUAUUCUGAAUGUUAACAAUAAUAUGGUUGGACGUGACGAUCAAAAUGAACGCUUGUUAGAAGAUCUGACGGUAAGUUACUCUGGUGAACCCAAAGUCAUCCCGAUUGUCGGGAUGGGAGGCAUAGGUAAAACAACCUUAGCGAAAGAAGCUUACAAUCAUGAAUCAAUUCUACGCCGUUUUGAUGUUCGUGCCUGGGCUACUGUAUCUCAACAGCACAACAUAAAGGAUAUUUUGUUGAGCCUUCUGCAAUCGACCAUCAAAAUAGAUGACAAGGUUAAGGAGGAAGGUGAAGCAAAGCUAGCAGACAUGCUGCAGAAAAAUUUAAAGAAAAAGAGGUACUUAAUUGUCUUGGAUGAUAUCUGGAGUUGUGAAGUGUGGGAUAGUGUGAGACGAUGCUUUCCAACGGAAGACAAUGCAGGGAGUCGAAUACUGUUGACUACCCGUAACAACGAAGUAGCUCGCGAUGCUGGUACAGAGAAUCUUUCUAUGCAGAUGAACUUCAUGGAUCAAAAUGAGAGUUGGAACCUUUUUAAAAGUGCAGCAUUUUCAAAUGAAGCAUUGUCAUCUGAGUUUGAGACUAUUGGGAAGAAAAUCGCAGAGAAAUNNNNNNNNNNNNNNNNNNNNNNNNNNNNNNNNNNNNNNNNNNNNNNNNNNNNNNNNNNNNNNNNNNNNNNNNNNNNNNNNNNNNNNNNNNNNNNNNNNNNNNNNNNNNNNNNNNNNNNNNNNNNNNNNNNNNNNNNNNNNNNNNNNNNNNNNNNNNNNNNNNNNNNNNNNNNNNNNNNNNNNNNNNNNNNNNNNNNNNNNNNNNNNNNNNNNNNNNNNNNNNNNNNNNNNNNNNNNNNNNNNNNNNNNNNNNNNNNNNNNNNNNNNNNNNNNNNNNNNNNNNNNNNNNNNNNNNNNNNNNNNNNNNNNNNNNNNNNNNNNNNNNNNNNNNNNNNNNNNNNNNNNNNNNNNNNNNNNNNNNNNNNNNNNNNNNNNNNNNNNNNNNNNNNNNNNNNNNNNNNNNNNNNNNNNNNNNNNNNNNNNNNNNNNNNNNNNNNNNNNNNNNNNNNNNNNNNNNNNNNNNNNNNNNNNNNNNNNNNNNNNNNNNNNNNNNNNNNNNNNNNNNNNNNNNNNNNNNNNNNNNNNNNNNNNNNNNNNNNNNNNNNNNNNNNNNNNNNNNNNNNNNNNNNNNNNNNNNNNNNNNNNNNNNNNNNNNNNNNNNNNNNNNNNNNNNNNNNNNNNNNNNNNNNNNNNNNNNNNNNNNNNNNNNNNNNNNNNNNNNNNNNNNNNNNNNNNNNNNNNNNNNNNNNNNNNNNNNCCAUAAGAAUUUAGACAUACCUCCAGAAAUUUGCAGGUUAUGGAAUCUGCAGACAAUCAUUGUUCAAGAGCAUCCUGGUCGAACAGUUAAAAUAACUUGUCCAGAGGAAAUUUGGGGACUAAUGCAAUUAAGGAAUCUCAAACUGGCGGCCGAAUUUUAUCUGCCAAAUCCCCCCAGCGUAUCUGCUGACAAAGGGAGUCACAUGGGUUUUUCAAACAUACAAACUAUUUCUUGCUUGUCUCCAGGUUGUUGCACGAAGGAGGUUAUUAUGGGGAUUCAGAAUGUCAAGGAAUUAGGAAUCAGUAAUAAUGGGCAUUUCAACAAUCUUGUCCAUCUGCAGCAACUAACAUUGAGUCUUAUGGGCUUCUCAACAUUUUGUUUUUUGCCAGCAAGUGCAAAAGCUUUUCCAGCAACGCUCAAGAAGCUGAAGUUGGAGGGAACUUUGCUAAGUUGGUCGUACUUGGACAUCAUAGCUGAGUUGCCUAAGCUUGAGGUGCUCAAGCUGGUGUUUAAUGCUUGUGAUGGUGAAGAAUGGCAUCCAAAUGUCAAGGGAUUUACUCGAUUGAAGGUUUUGUUAAUUGAAUAUAAUGAUCUCAAGUACUGGAAAGCCACAGAUGAUAAUUUUCCUGUCCUUGAGCGCCUUGUGCUCAACGUGUGCAGAUAUUUGAAAUAGAUACCUAUUGAGUU
rnacentral:lncRNA from 1 species